CGUAGUGACUGCGGAGGGAUCAUUACACAAAUAUGAAGGCGGGCUGGAACCUCUCGGGGUUACAGCCUUGCUGAAUUAUUCACCCUUGUCUUUUGCGUACUUCUUGUUUCCUUGGUGGGUUCGCCCACCACUAGGACAAACAUAAACCUUUUGUAAUUGCAAUCAGCGUCAGUAACAAAUUAAUAAUUACAACUUUCAACAACGGAUCUCUUGGUUCUGGCAUCGAUGAAGAACGCAGCGAAAUGCGAUAAGUAGUGUGAAUUGCAGAAUUCAGUGAAUCAUCGAAUCUUUGAACGCACAUUGCGCCCUUUGGUAUUCCAAAGGGCAUGCCUGUUCGAGCGUCAUUUGUACCCUCAAGCUUUGCUUGGUGUUGGGCGUCUUGUCUCUAGCUUUGCUGGAGACUCGCCUUAAAGUAAUUGGCAGCCGGCCUACUGGUUUCGGAGCGCAGCACAAGUCGCACUCUCUAUCAGCAAAGGUCUAGCAUCCAUUAAGCCUUUUUUUCAACUUUUGACCUCGGAUCAGGUAGGGAUACCCGCUGAACUUAAGCAUAUCAAUAAGCGGAGGAA
rnacentral:rRNA from 1 species